rnacentral:rRNA from 1 species
CAGUCGCCGCGGGAAUACGAAGGGGGCUAGCGUUGCUCGGAAUGACUGGGCGUAAAGGGCGCGUAGGCGGUUUUGACAGUCAGAUGUGAAAUUCCUGGGCUUAACCUGGGGGCUGCAUUUGAGACGUCAAGACUAGAGUGUGAGAGAGGAUAGUGGAAUUUCCGGUGUAGCAGUGAAAUGCGUAGAGAUCGGAAGGAACAUCUGUGGCGAAGGCGACUAUCUGGGCCAACACUAACACUGAGGCACGAAAGCGUGGGGAGCAAACAGGAUUAGAUACCCCCGUAGUCCCUGUCUAUUAUAC